UCUGACACAUCGCCCCUGACAAGAUUAAUUUUGGCACAUGUUAUAAUAUUAGGGGCAACACAUAUCACCCAUAAUAUUGUUAAAAUAACCUAACCUCUUCUCCAUUUCUGUCAAAUUCUCAGCUGCGCCUCUUCUCCUUCCCUCCUUUCUCUCUGAAAUUUUUCAGAGCUUCAAAUUCCCAGCCGCGCCCCUUGCUUCCCUCCUUCCCUCUUCCCCUCUUGGCUCUCUCUCCCUUAUGCUCGGACUCCCUCUUGGGUCUCUCUCCCAAACGGUCGACACCCUCUUGGAUCUCUCUCCAAACUGUCGGCGAUACCCUCUCGGCUCUCUCUCCAGAUGGUCGGCUCCUUCCCUCUGUCUCUCGGACGCAACACAGUACAAAGCAUGGACAAAUUGACACAAAGGCUUACUGAGCUCAACCAAAGCAUUUGAGGGGCAUUUGAGGUUUAAAUUGAAGGAGUAUCUCUUGAAAAUUCGGUCUUUGGGGUAUUUAUAAUUUUGUGGCAUCAAGAUAGACUUGGAAGUUUUCUUCUAGGGAAAUCAAUUGAGCCAACCGGCGUUGAAAAUCAGGUCGGAAAUAAUGACCAUGGUCAGAACUGUCCGACAAUCCCUGAGAACUAGCAACAGAUGCUUGCUGAUAUGCAAGCUAGGCUACAGAGGCAGGAAGAAGAAAUUCACCAGCUGAGGCAGCAGUAGGUUCCGACAAGGAACGCUACAUUAGUAGCACCAUUUGCUGUCGCAGUACCGACCAUACAGCGGCAGUCAGAGAUUGAGAAUCGUUGGGAACUAUUAUAUGAACAGUUCAGGAAACAACACCCUUCGAAUUUUAAGGGUAGCACGGAUCCACUCAAGGCUGAGUAGUAGAUGAGCAUGAUGCCAUCCAUCCUAGACUUUAUGAGGGUGGUGGGCAACGAGAGGUGGCUUGUGCCAUGUACAUGUUUAGGGAGGAUGCCCGAAUCUGGUGGGAGGUGGUGUCACAAACUAGGGACAUAUAUACAAUUAAGUGGGAAGAUUUCAAAGAUUUAUUUAAUGAAAAAUAUAUUAAUGAUGAAGUGAGAACUACGAAGGCAUAUGAAUUCAAUAGUUUGGUUCAGAGAAAUAUGUGAGUAAUAGAAUAUGCCCUGAUGUUUGAUAGACUAUCCAAGUUUGCUUUGGACUUGGUGCCUACUGAUGUAACCAGGAAUGAGAGAUUUCUUAGGGGGCUGAAUUCUAUGAUAGCCCAGGAUGUCAGAAUUACUACAGUGCUUGGAGUGACGAGAUACACUCAGGUAGUAGAGAUAGCCCUUACUACAGAGGGUGCUGAAGACAAGAUCUGUGCAAGAACGCGGCAAUAAGGGAUACUAGGAGGAUGGGACCUCCCUUUAUAGGUUCUUGUAGGGGUGGAGGCCUUAGCAACCAGAAAAGGAAGACCCCAUAUAUUGUUUCAGCUUCAGGCCCCGAUAUGAGGCCACGAGGUGUAUAGAUUGGCCACCAGGGCAGAAAUGAGGACUGGAGAACGUAUCUAGAGUGUGACAGAUGUAGAAGACGUCAUUUGGGAGAGUGUCGGGCGAAGGCCGGCUUUUUAUGUGGAAUAGUGGGGCAUCUCAAGCAAGACUGCCCAAGGAUGAAGACAGAGGAGCCGAAAAAGGUGGACUUCUUAACUUUAGCUCGAGUGUUCGUACUAACGCAGGCAGAGGCUACGGCUAGUUGCUCAGUGGUGACAGGUCAGGUUUCUAGUGCUGACACUUCUUAUAUUGUACUGAUUGAUUUUGGUGCUACACACUCCUUUGCUUCUAGUAAAGUAAUUGAUAGACUGUGUAGGUCAUGUGAUUAUUAUAUUGUUGGGUUUGGAACUGUAACACCCCAUGUCACUAUGGCUGCUUUCUGGAAUGAUGACUAGCCCUACAAUCUAACACGAGUCUUUCCAGCGUGCUUUGUCCUCACUCAAACACUUACUAGGAAAACUUCCUAGGAGGUCACCCAUCAUGAGACUACUCCAGGCCAAGCACACUUAACUUUGGAGUUCUCAAGUGAUGGGCUGCCUAAAAGAGGAUGCAUCUUGUUGGCAUAGGUAGAAUGAUGCAAACCAAGGAGCUGGACAUGCUGAUCAUACAUGUGGGAAUGGAGUUGGAUUUCCACUAGACCCUUUGUCACUUCCUAGUGGCCCAAUUACAAGACUUAGAGCCAAGCGUUUCAAGGAAGCACUAAAUGGGCUAAUCCAAGAGAUUUGGGUUGAUUCUAAAAAGACCAAGAUGGACUCAAAUAAUAAUCAAGGCUUAGUCCGUGUCAUCAAAGCAAGUGAAGAGGCUAAUUAACAUCCAAAAACGUAAUCAGCAUGGUUUAGUCAUUAAAGGGCAUGAUUUUGAUGAGUUUCGAGGAUAUUAAAUAGGGGAAUGCCAAUGGCCUUGGCUGGUUAUGUUAAUGCAUUGAAUUUAGUCAUUUAAGUUAUUUUUGGCUGCCUUUUGAAGACCAAAAUGCCUAAAGACGUGGGGAGUUAUUAUUUUUAUAUUUGUGUUGCUUUUAAGGCUGAAUUAUGACUUUUCCUAUUCUUGGAGGAUUGUUCCAAGUAUAUAUAAGGUUUUUAUGAACAUUGUAAGACAUUAUGUUUUGAGAAAUAUUAUUAUUAUUGUGAGGUGUGUUCCUCUUCGUUCUUGAAAGAACUCUUGAACUUAUCAAGUUAAUCUUGUGGCGUUCAAACAACCAAACUUAUCACCUUGAUCCUUGAGAUAUUCUUAGGUUUCCUGGUGUGGCAUUUUCUUUCCUUUGUAGCCUUGGUUUUCAUCUAAUUAGGUGAUGGGUCAAGGCUCAACAAAUCUUGUCUACACGAUCUUGGGGUUCCAAACCAUCAUUGUUAUCGGGUUUCAUCACAAUUGUUGGUGAGGUUCAUAUCAUUUGGAAUCAGAGCUUUGGUUCUAAGGCAAGUUUGACUAUCUUUUAUUUUCGUUUUCAUAUUCCCUACUGUACUUGAAAAAAAAAAGAACAACAGCAAAAAAAAAAAAAAAAAGAAAAAAUAAAGUACACGAUUCCAUUAAGAAAAAUUUAUUCCUUUCAAUCUUGUUUCUCACCAUAUUCAAGUUCUUGAUCUUUGACCUUUUGAUGAGUCCUUUUUCCCAUCUUGAUCUUUUGAUGAGUUUGGUUGCUUCUCCUUUUUGAAUGGUUGCUAGAUUGUUUUGGAUUAGUUUCUUGAAGCUCAAUUAAGAACUAAAGAAGACACGAAAGAGUGCAAAAAGGCAAGAGUGUGUGAGGCCAUAAGAGGAUAAAGGACAUUUAGAGUGAAAACACGAGUGCAAGGGUAUCAAUUGUUGAGUGAAACACGUGAGAGCGUGCUUGUGAGGAUUCUAACUUUGUUUUGCAGAUUCUAAACAUGUCCAAUAAUAAUAAAGAAGACACAGCCGGAGACUUUCGACAACCCACAGGUCCGAACCUCCAAAUGCAAACGUUGUUAGGGGAGAUGAGGCGUAUGAUGAGGGCUGAAUUGGAACCUAUUCAUAAGAGGUUGGAUAGGGUAGAAGCGAGAAAUCCUAGGGAACAACAAUAGGACAACCCAGUAGGCAACAAGGUGGGCGUGUUCCGUGGCAGAAUGUUGAGGAAGAGGCUGAGUCAGAGGAGUUUGAUGAGCCAUAUUUGAAUCGGGGCAGGUUUGAGCGUGGGUAUGGGAAUAGAGAAGCUAGGAUGGGUAGGCCUAGGAGGGAUAAUGAUUUAGGAAACAUAAAGAUUAAAAUCCCAUCUUUUCAAGGUAAAAAUGAUCCUUAAGCUUAUUUGGAGUGGGAAACUAAAAUGGAGAUGGUGUUUGAUUGUCAUAACUACUCGGAGAUAAAGAAGGUUAAGUUGGCAGCAAUUGAAUUCACCAAUUAUGCCAUUGUUUGGUGGGAUCAAUUACUGAUUAAUAGGAGGAGGAAUAGAGAGCCACCCGUGGACACUUGGGAGGAGAUGAAAAUUCUUAUGAGGAAGCGUUUUGUACCUAGCCACUAUUAUAGGGGAUUGUAUCAAAAGUUGCAGAGGUUAAAUCAAGGUUCCAAGAGUGUGGAUGAGUAUUACAAGGAGAUGGAGGGAGCUAUGAUCCAGGCUAAUGUAGAAGAGGACAGGGAAGCCACCAUGGCUAGGUUUUUGCACUGUUUAAAUCGAGAGAUUACGGAUAUAGUUGAGUUGCAGCACUAUGUUGAGCUGACGGAUAUGGUGCAUCAAGCCAUAAAGGUGGAGGAACAAUUCAAAUGGAAGGGAUUGGCAAGGAGGGGACAACCUAUGGCUACCACCAGUCUAUGGAAGACAACUCCAAAAAGGGACGAGCAGCUACAAAAUAUUCCAAAAUUUGAACCCUCUAAGAAUGUCAAGCCAACGACCGCCACUACUUUAGGUAACACUGAUUCUUCUAAUUCUAAAACACGUGAUAUUAAGUGUUUUUAAUGUCAGGGGCGGGGACACAUAACUAGCUAGUGUGUAAACAAAAGGGUGAUGGUGAUUAAUGCCCAAGGAGAGCUUAAGUCAGAGAAUGAGGAAGAAGUAGAUGAUGCUGCCAUGCCACCUUUGGAGGAUGCUGAUGAUGAGCAAAAUGCUGUGGUUGGAGAUUUAUUGGUAGCAAGGCAAGUUCUCAAUGUGCAUGUUAAGGAGGAAGAAAGUAACAAAAGGGAGAACUUAUUUCAUACUUGGUGCUUUGUAAAUAACAAAGUUUGCAGUGUCAUUAUCGAUGGAGGGAGUUGUACAAAUGUAGCCAACACUUAUUUGGUGGAGAAAUUGGCCUUAACCACUUUGAAACAUCCUCACCCUUACCGGCUUCAGUGGCUGAAUGAUUGUGGCGAAAUCAAGGUGACAAGGCAAGUGUUGGUGGCGUUAUCCAUUGGAAAAUAUGAGGAUGAGGUGCUUUGUGAUGUGGUUCCUAUGCAUGCAUGCCAUUUAUUGUUGGGAGGACCGUGGUAGUAUGAUUUGAGGGUUACGCAUGAUGGAUUCACGAAUAGGUAUUCUUUCCCUCUUAAAAGGCAACCUAUUACUCUUGUUCCAUUAACUCCAAAACAGGUCAUGGAGGAUCAACUAAAGUUACAAAGAUCAAAUGAAAAAAAAUAAAUAAAGGAAGGCUGAAAUAGAAAAAAGAAAAGAGUUUAAAAAUAAUGAAAGAGAGAAAAACAUUGAUCAGAGUGAAAAAGAAAGAGAGAGGAUUUCAGCCAUAGUGAGAGCAAGAGAGGAAAAAUUCAGUUAUAUUGCAAAAAAAAGUGAGAUCAAGAGAGCAUUAUUUUCACACCAGCCCCUUAUUGUACUCAUGUACAAGGAGGCUCUUUUAUGUACUAAUGAUCUCGUCGGUACUUUGCCGAGUGAUAUUGUUUCUCUUUUGCAGGAGUUUGAAGAUGUCCUUCUCGAAGAGGUACCUUAUAGCUUACCUCCAAUUCGAGGGAUUGAACAUCAAAUUGAUUUCAUACCUGGUGCAUCCAUUCCAAACCGACCUGCUUAUAGGAGCAAUCCCAAGGAGACCAAGGAGCUUCAGUGGCAAGUAGGUGAAUAAUUAGAGAAAGGAUAUGUUCGUGAAAGCAUGAGUCCUUGUGUUGUUCUGGUGCUAUUAGUUCCUAAGAAGGAUGGAACAUGGAGGAUGCGUGUUGACUGACGAGCCAUCAACAACAUAAUGGUAAAGUAUCGUCAUCCCAUUCCUAGAUUAGAUGAUAUGUUGGAUGAAUUGCAUGGUUCUUGUGUCUUUACAAAAAUUGAUCUUAAGAGUGGAUAUCAUCACAUUAAUAUGAAGGAAGGUGAUGAGUGGAAAACUGCUUUUAAGACUAAAUAUGGUUUGUAUGAGUGGUUAGUAAUGCCUUUCGGUUUAACUAAUGCUUCGAGCACAUUUAUGCGUUUGAUGAACCAUGUUUUGCAUGCAUUUAUUGGCAAAUUUGUAGUUGUGUAUUUUGAUGAUAUCCUAAUUUAUAGCAAAAACUUGGAAGAGCAUGUAAUGCAUUUGAAAUCUGUUUUGGAAAUUCUAAGAAAAGAAAGGUUGUUUGCAAACCUCAAGAAGUGCACCUUUUGCACAGAUAAGCUUGUAUUUCUUGCUUUUGUUGUUAGUAAGAACAGAAUUGAGGUGGACGAGGAAAAGGUGAAGGCAAUCCAAGAGUGGCCAACGCCUACAACAAUCAGCCAAGUGAGGAGUUUCCACGACUUAGCUAGCUUCUAAAGACGGUUUGUGCGUGAUUUUAGUAGCUUAGCCGCCCCUCUUACUGAAGUCAUCAAGAAAAAUGUGCAGUUUAAGUGGGGGAAAGAACAAGAAAAGGCAUUUAAUCUGAUCAAAGAAAAGUUAACUAAUGCACCUUUGCUUGUUUUACCUAACUUUGCUAAAACUUUUGAAAUUGAGUGUGAUGCUUCAGGAAUAGGUAUUGGAGUUGUUUUGAUGCAAGAAGGACGUCCAGUUGCUUAUUUCAGUGAAAAGUUGAGUGGGGCAGCCCUAAAUUAUCCCACUUAUGAUAAGGAGAUGUAGGCCUUGGUAAGGGUUUUGGAAAAUUGGCAGCACUAUCUAUGGCCAAAGGAAUUCGUGAUUCACACAGAUCAUGAAUCUUUGAAGCAUUUGAAAGGACAGCAAAGGUUGAACAAAUGCCAUGCCAAGUGGGUGGAAUUCAUUGAAACAUUUCCUUACGUGAUCAGAUACAAGCAAGGGUAAAGGUAAGGAGAAGCUUGGCUAGCCAUGAGUUGGAGAGCAUUAGGGGCGGUGUGUACAUAUGCAAUAUGCUUGACCGCCAUGGUCGAGAUAUUGCAGUGGAACUAGGCUUGGACCCUAUUUCGCCGCUUAGGUAAAGGCAAGGGCAAACUUGAUCAGCCCUGACUUGGAGAAAUCUGUGAGCUGAUUGCACAUGACCAACUGCUCAGCCGCCAUGGUUGAGGGGAAGGCAGGAACAAGGGAACCAGAAAUGUCUGUUUUGCCUUAGAAUGGCUGAUGGUUGUCUGUAUUUUGAAAUUCUGUAAACUGACUUUUAAACACUAUUUCUUUUUGGGAUCCCAUGUGUAAAACUGUUUAAUU